rnacentral:rRNA from 1 species
AUGGAGAACAACAGGAGCAACCAGCAGGCUCCUCCACCGCCACCAGCAGGGUACCCGACGGCGGCGGCGGAGCAAGGCCAGGCCGGCGGGAAGAAGGGCCGCCGGGCGAGCACCAAAUCCAGGGGCGAGAAGGGCUUCAUAGAGGGAUGCCUCGCCGCACUGUGCUGCUGCUGGAUCUGCGAGAUGUGCUGCGACUAA